ensembl:lncRNA
CGAGACCUCAAGUCCAUGGUUCUGGAGAGCCUUUAGUCCAGCAAAGACUCAUAGGUAAACAGUCAAUUACAGAAGAGUGAGACAUGAAGCAUGAAUAAGACUUAAUCAGUUGAUGCUAAAUGUUCAAGAGGAAAUUAUUUGAACAGCUGUCCUUUGCUGUACCUCUCCACCAUGAUGUUUCUGCCUUGCCACAGACCUAAAGCAAUGGAGCCACCAACCAUGGACUGAAACCUCUCAAACCGGCACACGGAAGGUUCGUGCCUAUGGACUGCAUUUCAUACCUCCAGUUACCACAGAGUGAAUUAUGGGAAAGGACAUGCGUGACCGGACGCGGACCUGACUCAGCUGCCUGUCAGUCACGUCUUCAAUCACGCCCUGGACGACUCAGUGGGAGGCGCUCUAGACCUGGCCGGACAUCUUAAAUUGUUAAACCCAACACCUCAGCGCUUGUGACAUUUUCCUUUCAGCCACCAGGAGCCGCUCCCUCUGAGCGUACCAUCACCUGAUUAAAGCUGCUGCUGUUUCUUUACUGUAGUGUGCCACUUGCAGCUCUUUGUUCAUCAUGCACAAGAACCUAGGAACCCGUCUGCGAGGGACCUUGCCACCCACGGGCUGUGCACAGAGCGCCCACCUCGCUGUGAAUCCCGGGGUGGGGAGCAGCAGGCAAGAAAGGGGUGUCCCCCUCACCGCACAGCCCUCCUUCGGAAGAGUGUGGGGCGGCUUCCAGAAGCAGCCAUGAGCAGUCCUCCCACCCACACCUGGCUGAGGUCAGUCCCCAGGAGAGCAGCAGGAUGUCAGGGAGACGCAAUGAGGAGUGUGAGAGAGAUCGGACCCGGGCCGUGCAAAGGGAGGCUGCAGAACUCUGGUGCGAGUGAGCCGGAGGGCGCGUGGUUAGGGAAGGGAGAACCUCUUCAGCGCUGCUUCCGGCCUGGCUGCCAUAUUGUUCCAUUCUUAAAUGGGCCCCAAAGGCUCAGUGUUGGAGUGCUGCUGGGAAAAGGUGGAACUAGGGGCCUAGUUCUUG